UACGGGGGGGGGCAAGCGUUGUUCGGAAUUACUGGCGUAAAGGGCUCGUAGGUGGCCAACUAAGUCGGACGUGAAAUCCCUCGGCUUAACCGGGGAACUGCGUCUGAUACUGGAUGGCUUGAGUUCGGGAGAGGGAUGCGGAAUUCCAGGUGUAGCGGUGAAAUGCGUAGAUAUCUGGAGGAACACCGGUGGCGAAGGCGGCAUCCUGGACCGACACUGACGCUGAGGAGCGAAGCCAGGGGAGCAAACGGG
rnacentral:rRNA from 1 species